CACUUUCAAGAGUCUCCACAAAGCUGACACUAGACCCGUCCAAAACAUCACGACCAUCAGUAAGUAUAUGAACACGGAUUCUCUUAGCGCCACGUUCUGCGAAACCCUUCAACAGCAACUACAGAAACAAAUAUAGAAAAUUAACAAACGCCAACACUUUUAACACAUUAAAGCUGUAAUUAAGGGGAAUAAUCAAUUCCUACUCAUUUCUUAUAAAUUACACGGUGAAUGAAAGAACAAAAACAUUCCUUACUGAUAUGUAACAAAAAG